AAGUCGUAACAAGGUUUCUGUAGGUGAACCUGCAGAAGGAUCAUUAGUGAAGAUUUGGGCAGGCCAUACGGACGCCACAAAGUGUCCCUGGCCGCCUACACCCACUAUACAUCCACAAACCCGUGUGCACUGUCCUUGGAAAGGGCAUUUGGAGAGAAAAAAGAAAGAGAAGCGAGAACAGUGCGAUCCGUCGCGUUGGGCGUUUUCUCUGACUUGGUCUCUCUGAGGCCCUUUCCUUGCUACAAACUCGAAUGGUUAGUAUGAACGUGGAACUUGGUUGGACCGUCACUGGCCAACAAACUAUACACAACUUUCGACAACGGAUCUCUUGGUUCUCC
rnacentral:misc_RNA from 1 species